CAUGUCCAGGUCCUGUGUCCGUGUCUCAUGUCCGGGUCCUGUGUCCGUGUCCCGUGUCCCGUGUCCGUGUCCCGUGUCCGUGUCCCGUGUCCAUGUCCCGUGUCCGUGUCUCAUGUCCGCGUCCCGUGUCUCAUGUCCAUGUCCCGUGUCCGUGUCUCAGGUCUGGGUCCUGUGUCCGGGUCCCGUGUCCGUGUCCCGUGUCCCACGUCCAUGUCCCGUGUCCGUGUCUCAUGUCCGGGUCCCGUGUCCGUGUCCCACGUCCAUGUCCCGUGUCCGUGUCUCAUGUCCGGGUCCCGUGUCCGUGUCCCAUGUCCAUGUCCCGUGUCCGUGUCUCAUGUCCGGGUCCUGUGUCCGGGUCCCGUGUCCAUGUCCCAUGUCCGUGUCUCAUGUCCGGGUCCCGUAUCUGUGUCCCAUGUCCAUGUCCCGUGUCCGUGUCUCAUGUCUGGGUCCUGUGUCCGUGUCCCGUGUCCAUGUCCCGUGUCCGUGGCUCAUGUCUGGGUCCUGUGUCCGUGUCUCAUGUCCAUGUCCCGUGUCCGUGUCUCAUGUCCGUGUCUCAUGUCUGGGUCCCGUGUCCGUGUCCCACGUCCAUGUCCCGUGUCCGUGUCUCAUGUCCGGGUCCUGUGUCCGGGUCCCGUGUCCAUGUCCCAUGUCCGUGUCUCAUGUCCGGGUCCCGUAUCUGUGUCCCAUGUCCAUGUCCCGUGUCCGUGUCUCAGGUCUGGGUCCUGUGUCCGGGUCCCGUGUCCGUGUCCCGUGUCCCACGUCCAUGUCCCGUGUCCGUGUCUCAGGUCUGGGUCCUGUGUCCGGGUCCCGUGUCCGUGUCCCGUGUCCCACGUCCAUGUCCCGUGUCCGUGUCUCAGGUCUGGGUCCUGUGUCCGUGUCCCGUGUCUUCCACGGUGAUCCUGACCCUCUCAGUGUCACCGAUGGGUCCUGUGUUCCCAGGGGCUGGUCUCUGAGCCUGGAGUUAUGACUCUAUGCCUUUCUGAAAAGUAAAGUGUGUCCAGCGGGAACAUUAACAAAGUUAAGUAAAUAAAAAUUAUUUUUCUUUAGGUAAAUUCUAACAGCUCUUAAGGGAAAUGAGAAAGCUCCCUGGUGCCAGAGACAAGGCCUGCGGGUGAGCGGUUUUUCGGGUUGGGCAAGACCCACGGUCCUCCUGCCCGAGGUGGGCAGGGGAGGGCAGGACACAGGUGCUUUGCUUCUGCAAGGUGCUGCUCCAUUGCAAGGCGGUCUUGGAAAAGCGAAGAUGAGCAGAAUUUGCCUCCAUAGAACCCAGUACAGGCAGCUCUCACAGCAGACAAGUGAAGCAGAGAGAAACGCAUCAACUGCAAAGCCGAACCACAGGCCCACAGCCGCCUCCUCCCCACAAAGGCAUCUCAAGGUCGUGACUGGGUCCUGGGACUCUGCCCUCAUGGGAGUGGGCUUCUGCAAGGAGCAUCUUCCACGGAGACCAUGGCGUGUGGCGAGCGCUGGCCGCGGCAGCUUGUCGUGGUGGCACCAUUGCUAAAUCCUUCCCAGCUUAUGGGACGAUUCUUGUUCAGGCUGGCUUUUGGUCUGGGCUUUGGGGUUUGGUCUGUGUCUCCUGAGGCCUGGGCCCGAAAGGCCAUCUGGAUUCCGGGUUGGGGGUCCUGAUGAGAGUGUUUAGCAGCCAGUGGAGUGCGGGAGAUGGAGGCCUGUCCAGGGCCUGUGGACAGAGGGCUCCUCCCGAUCCCUGUAAAGAGAGAUGAGGAGACGGGGAGAGCGCAAGGCCUCUCCUCACCUCCCGGCUCAGAGGCUGACCACCUAAGUCCCUGGCCCCCGGGACCCCAGCCACCGGAUGGACAGCUGGAGGAAGGGGUGCCUGAGAGCUGUGCAACGGACCCCCCUCUGCUCACGGUCACACGUGCUGGCCUGACCCUGGGGGCCGCUGGGGGCCGGGGCUGGCAGGGUGGUGGAGUCAGAGCCUCCCCCUUCCCUCCGGGGGCUGGAGAUGUGGAUGUCUGUGCGGUUCCAGGCGAGAAGGGGUGACAAGGCGGGGGGAGGAGGCCUGGGGUGGGCACCGUCCAGGUUCUGGGAGGGGCGGGCUGCCCUUCAAAAGGGGAGAGUGCGUGCGUGCGUGCGUGUGUGUGUGUGUGUGUGUGUGUGUGUGUGACAGAGAGAGAGAGAGGUAGAGAGAGACAGAGUGGGGGGAGAGGCAGGGGAGGUUGAGGGUGGGGGCUCAGCAGCUGGGGCCAUCAGGGAGAACUGGAAUGCUGAGGGCUGAGAGCCUGGGGGGGUCCCGGGGGCAGACGACCCCCCUCCCAGCUCUCCACCCUCAGUUGUCCGAGUCACUCUUGCUUGUGGUGACCUCUGCUUGACUUGGAGUCAAACCUUGGGCCCCGUCUUCCCCAGGCCACUGUGGACCUGUGCGUGCCGCCAGCAUUCACGGCCACAGGCCCUUCGGCCCCUCAGUCCGGGCUAAGUUCACGAGGCGCUACAGCCCCGUGACCGCCACCCGACAAAGCCUGCGAGCCAUACCCUGGCAUCUGCUCCCGCAUGGUUUCCAGAGACGGGCCUCGGCGCCCACACGCUGUCUUUCCUGCCGCCGCCAAUCCGCCAGGAAGGCCCCGCCUUUCCUGUUCUUGUCUGUCACACAGUUAGAUGCAAAGAUGGAAAGAGGCUGGGACAGAGGCACACGGUCUGAGUGGGGCGCUCCUUUCCCAGACACCAAAACACUCCGGGUGAGAAGCCGCAGAUGGGGCAGAGGAGAUCCUGGGUCUCAUGCGGCCUUUUACACAGCAGUGAAACGCCAACUGGGACCCGCCACGCUGGGAUUAAUGACCCCCGAGUGGCCGAUCACACGUUGUUUGUGAGGGAAACAACCAAACUUGUAAAAGGUGGUUUCCCACGCUCUCACCUGGGCGGGGGCACAGCCACCAUGCAAAUGGCUUCCUUUCACGCCCGCUGCACCCCCCAGGGCCGGGCCCGGGACUCCCAAGGAGGCCGGGCUGGGGCCGCAGCGAGAAAUCCCUCCUGGAAGCAGAACCCUGCAGGGCGACACAGCAAAGACCGUGGGAAGGGCUGGCUGUGCUCACAGCAGCAGGUCCCGGACCCUGGCAUGGCAGUUCUGCCCCCGAUUCUGCCUCUGAGAAAGCGUGGACACAACCACAUUACCCUGCCAGAGGCCAGGGACAGUCUUAGUAACCUCUGCGGAUCAGCUAGCUUAGUACAAAUGCCCCUUUUCAACUUGCCAGUUAUUCCCACACUUAGAGCAUCUGGAAUUACAGAGCGGACACCCAAUGCGGUGUGCCCUCGGAGCAGUAAACAUGCUUUAGGUUAAGAAAAUCUUUCCCUUCUCACUACCGACUUUCCAAAUCUACCUG
rnacentral:lncRNA from 1 species